UUGAAGAUCUCUAUUGGCAACCUCCUCCGUCUGCUGCUAUCACCCAGCCCUCUCGCUGGCCCUAAUCGGCGCACGUCUCCUCUCCACUCCUCCUUCAGAGUAUGCGCACAUGUGGAGGCCAUCGAUCUCAAUGGCCGCUUCGUCUGCCUGUUGCCGUCACCCUGCCCUAAUCCAUCCUCUUACCUCCGUCGAUAGUGCCGCAGUCGUGAGUCUCCGCAGGUUAUAUGUCUCCUCCUCAGAUUUCCCUUCCAUUGCAAAAGAUAGGAACGCCUUUCCCAUAUCUUCAGUAGUGGCUUCAAUUCAAGUCGCAAAAGUUUCUAUAGAACAGUUCAGUUGUCAAAGUUCCAUUAGCCUGCAAAACAUUCUCUCAAAUCUGGAGCCUACUCAAGAAUGACGACUCCACCAUUGUGUGCUCACCUUCUUGGCUGCCACUUCUCAUCAGCUUAAUCUUCUGUCACAGACUCAUUUCGGCAGGGAGCUCCACACGCCAUAGUCCCUCCCUCUCUCUCUAUCUGAUUAGGACUCCCUCACAGAUACCACAAUCGCUCUCCGAUGUGCACAUAUUAGCCAUGGUGUACCCAUCGUUUAUACCAGUCAAUACUUGCAUACGAAGUUAGCACACCUGCAUUGGCAUGGGUAGCCCCAAUGCUUACACCAGUCCAUCCUAUAAGUGCUCUUGGCAAACUUGGAGUGUAUAUGAAUUCUGAAGGUCAAGAAGGCAGCACCUUAGCAAUAUUUAUUCAAAGCAACACGGAAGAUCGAAAAAUGAUGGGUAAGUUAACCUCUUGGCAGUUCUUCCUCAUAAAUUUUUCUACUUUGCUAUUUUAAAGUCACCCAUUUUCUGAAUUGGUGUACUAAUAUAGAACAGGUAAGAGUUCGUUUUCGUACAUUUACGUAUUCUGUUGUAUAUAUAGUGCUCUGACUUGCUUAGUAAGAUCUGCUUUGUACUUAAGGUCUAAUUGGUAACACCAAGCAACUUCCAAGAAAUUUAUAUCUACUGACUGAUUCCAUGAUAUUAAACUGUAUGCUGUUGUCGUUGAUAUAUAGGGUAUACAUACAUGUACAGACUUUACUAGACACAUAUUGUCAGAUAAAGUUCAGUCUCUUUUUCUUUGUUUAAGCAAAAUAGAUGGCCUUAUAUGCAUCUAUUUCCAUUCUGAUAUAACUGAAAGGAUCAUGUUGUAUGAUCUAAUACGUAAUAGAUAAAUGGAAGGAGUAGGGUAUGCCCUAAUUAACUCUGACAUCAUAUUCGAUAAUCAGUGUCUUUCUUUUACAUGGACGGGAUACUUAUGAAGAGAAUCUUGGCAUGUAUUCUUUGGAUGCUCUCAAGUUUGCACGACACAUUUAAUUAAAUUUAAAUUUAUCAAAUGAUCAAAUGCUUAGUUGGGAAAUUAUUAAUUUGUAAUUCCGCUCAUCUUUUAAGUAGAGGCAUACUUGGCUGAAUUUGGUGCAACAGUUCAUUAUUCAUGGCAGCUCUUAUUUCUUUUCUAUUUUCAUGUGAGCUCAAUUAAUUAAUGGGCAGACAAAUAAGAUGCUUCUCCAUAUAGAUGGUGCUACUUAGAAUGAAAUGAUAUGUUUUGGUUCUACACACACAUGCUAGAUUAUGCAUCACUUUAAGAAUUGACUGAAGUUAUUUGUUAGUAGUACACAAAAUGAUCUUUAUUUUUGGAAUGACCACAUGAGCGUCUUCUGCAACAAUUCCAGGAUAACCUAUUAUUCUUUCUUUAUAAAUAUUUAUUGAUCCAAACAGAUUGUUCGGCCCUAUUUAUAUGAGAUUAUGGAUGAAUAUAUUUCCAAAAAUUUCAAGCUCGCCCUAAACUCUUUCAAUUGCUCUACAAUUUCCUGUAUUCUAAAUAAAUAGUGCAUCCAGGCAUUAUUGUAAGCUGAACAAAGUAUUAUCCUCCACCACAUGUACAGAUUUCCGGAAUGGAAAGGGUCUACGAACAUAUUGGGUGAAUGUGUCAAUGCUAUUACGUAAACAUAUCAAUAUCACACUUAUCAUGUUGAACGGUUACUUUCAAUAAUCUUACAACUAUUUUAAUAUAUUAUUUAUUGUAUGCAUAAAAUAUAUCUUAAAUGAUGCAAUAUAUGUGUUUCCUCUUUCUGACAAUAAGCGAGUGUAUUUGGUUGUUUGCAUUAUUUGUUCCUAUUAUUUUGAUCUCUAACCCUUAGUUUCUGCAAACCUUUAUAUCGUAGUGCCUCGCUGUCUUGGGUUGAUUUGCCAAUCAAGUGCUAUUUUUUAUUUUAGUUGUGGAAUAUCACCAUGAUGGUGCAAUGAGAGUUGAUUUCCCUAUUCACUGCAAUAUCGGAGGAAUGGCAGGACUGCUAGAGAACUAUAACGUGGGUUGAUUUGACAUAGAUAAUCCAUAGCUUGGUGUGUCGUGUGCACAUCCAUCGUCGGGUAUGUAUAAUAGUAAUCCAUCUCAUCAUGGGAUGUUAGUGUUGACAAGAUUAAGGCGAAAGAUACAAA